rnacentral:rRNA from 1 species
AGCUUGCUUCAUCCGCCGGCGACCGGCGCACGGGUGAGUAACACGUAUGCAACCUGCCCCUGGCUGGGGGAUAAGCCGGAGAAAUCCGGUCUAAUACCGCGUAACAUCCUUGCGGGACAUCCCGUUAGGAUCAAAGGAAGCGAUUCCGGCUACGGAUGGUCAUGCGUCGCAUUAGCUGGUUGGCGGGGUAACGGCCCACCAAGGCGACGAUGCGUAGGGGUUCUGAGAGGAAGGUCCCCCACACUGGUACUGAGACACGGACCAGACUCCUACGGGAGGCAGCAGUGAGGAAUAUUGGUCAAUGGCCGCAGGGCUGAACCAGCCAAGUCGCGUGAGGGAUGACGGUCCUAUGGAUUGUAAACCUCUUUUGUCAGGGAGCAAAGGGCGCCACGUGUGGCGCUUUGCGAGUACCUGAAGAAAAAGCAUCGGCUAACUCCGUGCCAGCAGCCGCGGUAAUACGGAGGAUGCGAGCGUUAUCCGGAUUUAUUGGGUUUAAAGGGUGCGCAGGCGGAAUGUCAAGUCAGCGGUAAAAUUUCGGGGCUCAACCCCGUCGUGCCGUUGAAACUGGCGUUCUUGAGUGA